UACGUAGGGUCCGAGCGUUGUCCGGAAUUAUUGGGCGUAAAGGGCUCGUGGGCGGUCUGUCGCGUCGGGAGUGAAAACUCGGAGCUUAACUCCGAGCCUGCUUCCGAUACGGGCAGACUAGAGGUAUGCAGGGGAGAACGGAAUUCCUGGUGUAGCGGUGAAAUGCGCAGAUAUCAGGAGGAACACCGGUGGCGAAGGCGGUUCUCUGGGCAUCACCUGACGCUGAGGAGCGAAAGUGUGGGGAGCGAAC
rnacentral:rRNA from 1 species